UACGGAGGGGGCGAGCGUUAUUCGGAAUUAUUGGGCGUAAAGGGCGCGUAGGCGGCUCUUUAAGUCAAAGGUGAAAUCCCUCGGCUCAACUGAGGAACUGCCUUUGAAACUGAGGAGCUUGAGUCCGGGAGGGGGUAGCGGAAUUCCCAGUGUAGCGGUGAAAUGCGUAGAUAUUGGGAGGAACACCAGUGGCGAAGGCGGCUACCUGGACCGGAACUGACGCUGAUGCGCGAAAGCGUGGGGAGCAAACAGG
rnacentral:rRNA from 1 species